rnacentral:rRNA from 1 species
ACCGGCGCACGGGUGAGUAACACGUAUCCAACCUGCCCUUUACUCGGGGAUAGCCUUUCGAAAGAAAGAUUAAUACCCGAUAGCAUAAUGAUUCCGCAUGGUUUCAUUAUUAAAGGAUUCCGGUAAAGGAUGGGGAUGCGUUCCAUUAGGUUGUUGGUGAGGUAACGGCUCACCAAGCCUUCGAUGGAUAGGGGUUCUGAGAGGAAGGUCCCCCACAUUGGAACUGAGACACGGUCCAAACUCCUACGGGAGGCAGCAGUGAGGAAUAUUGGUCAAUGGGCGCUAGCCUGAACCAGCCAAGUAGCGUGAAGGAUGAAGGCUCUAUGGGUCGUAAACUUCUUUUAUAUAAGAAUAAAGUGCAGUAUGUAUACUGUUUUGUAUGUAUUAUAUGAAUAAGGAUCGGCUAACUCCGUGCCAGCAGCCGCGGUAAUACGGAGGAUCCGAGCGUUAUCCGGAUUUAUUGGGUUUAAUGGGAGCGUAGGUGGACUGGUAAGUCAGUUGUGAAAGUUUGCGGCUCAACCGUAAAAUUGCAGUUGAUACUGUCAGUCUUGAGUACAGUAGAGGUGGGCGGAAUUCGUGGUGUAGCGGUGAAAUGCUUAGAUAUCACGAAGAACUCCGAUUGCGAAGGCAGCUCACUGGACUGCAACUGACACUGAUGCUCGAAAGUGUGGGUAUCAAACAGGAUUAGAUACCCUGGUAGUCCACACAGUAAACGAUGAAUACUCGCUGUUUGCGAUAUACAGUAAGCGGCCAAGCGAAAGCAUUAAGUAUUCCACCUGGGGAGUACGCCGGCAACGGUGAAACUCAAAGGAAUUGACGGGGGCCCGCACAAGCGGAGGAACAUGUGGUUUAAUUCGAUGAUACGCGAGGAACCUUACCCGGGCUUAAAUUGCAGUGGAAUGAUGUGGAAACAUGUCAGUGAGCAAUCACCGCUGUGAAGGUGCUGCAUGGUUGUCGUCAGCUCGUGCCGUGAGGUGUCGGCUUAAGUGCCAUAACGAGCGCAACCCUUAUCUUCAGUUACUAACAGGUCAUGCUGAGGACUCUGGAGAGACUGCCGUCGUAAGAUGUGAGGAAGGUGGGGAUGACGUCAAAUCAGCACGGCCCUUACGUCCGGGGCUACACACGUGUUACAAUGGGGGGUACAGAAGGCAGCUAGCGGGUGACCGUAUGCUAAUCCCAAAAGCCUCUCUCAGUUCGGAUCGAAGUCUGCAACCCGACUUCGUGAAGCUGGAUUCGCUAGUAAUCGCGCAUCAGCCACGGCGCGGUGAAUACGUUCCCGGGCCUUGUACACACCGCCCGUCAAGCCAUGGGAGCCGGGGGUACCUGAAGUACGUAACCGCGAGGAUCGUCCUAGGGUAAAACUGGUGACUGGGGCUAAGUCGUAACAAGGUAGCC